GACGAACGCUGGCGGCGUGCUUAACACAUGCAAGUCGAGCGGAAAGGCCACUUCGGUGGUACUCGAGCGGCGAACGGGUGAGUAACACGUGAGUAAUCUGCCCCUGGCUUUGGGAUAGCCACCGGAAACGGUGAUUAAUACCGGAUACGACCACUUCUCGCAUGGGAUGGUGGUGGAUAGUUUUUUCGGCCAGGGAUGUGCUCGCGGCCUAUCAGCUUGAUGGCGAGGUAAUGGCUCACCAUGGCUUCGACGGGUAGCCGGCCUGAGAGGGUGACCGGUCACACUUGGACUGAGACACGGCCCAGACUCCUACGGGAGGCAGCAGUGGGGAAUAUUGGACAAUGGGCGGAAGCCUGAUCCAGCAACGCCGCGUGAGGGAUGACGGCCUUCGGGUUGUAAACCUCUUUCAGCAGGGACGAAGCGCAAGUGACGGUACCUGCAGAAGAAGCACCGGCCAACUACGUGCCAGCCGCCGCAGUAA
rnacentral:rRNA from 1 species